CGUUCUGGGUAAAUAGAGUUUCUAGCAUUUAUGUUAGUUACUUGUUCCCCGGAUAGUUUAGUUACGUAGCCAAUUGUGGAACUUUCUUGCUAAAAUUUUUAAGAAUACUAUUUGGGUUAAACCAAUUAGUUCUUAUCAAUUAUAACGAUUAUCAAUUAACAAUCAAUUCAGAACUGGCACGGACUUGGGGAAUCCGACUGUCUAAUUAAAACAAAGCAUUGUGAUGGCCCUAGCGGGUGUUGACACAAUGUGAUUUCUGCCCAGUGCUCUGAAUGUCAAAGUGAAGAAAUUCAAGUAAGCGCGGGUCAACGGCGGGAGUAACUAUGACUCUCUUAAGGUAGCCAAAUGCCUCGUCAUCUAAUUAGUUUUUUUUUUUUUUUUUUUUUUUUUCUCUUUA
rnacentral:ncRNA from 1 species